UUGAUUUCUCAAUACUGCUAGCUGAAGUGUUCACGUAGGUCAAAUAGCUUCUAUAGCUCAAUCCAAUAGUAAUCAACGGAGAUAGAGUCCAGCGGUUCAACCAACGCUUCUAAGGGGAGCGGGGCAAGCAAAGCAAGAAAGCAGGCAAAGUCAUUGAGCCUAUUCUAUUCCGAAAGUUCCACACAUGGAAUGUCGUCGGCAUUCUUCUCCUACUCGCUACAAUUGCUUUAGCGCGAGCAGGGAAGGAAAGGGCGGAAAUCUCCCUAUCUGAUCCAGGUGCAGAUCAAGAAGGAUCUGUAAACCUUUCUUCUUCCUUAUAGUGUGCAAACACGAGCAAGCUGCUAAGUGAUAAAAGAAGAAGAACUCAUCUGCCCUUCUGGUAUAGAUCGGGAAUUCCUACUUAAAGAGAAACAGAGGCUCGUUUAACGAGCUGGAGCCUAUCUUACUAAUGGCCAAAGAGUAGGCGAUUGAAAGACCGGUAUGCUCUAAAAAGAAAGUACAAGGAUAAGCUUGCAUUCUAGAAGCGGUAGCUUCCGAAGGAUAUAGGUAGAGUGGAAGCCUUCAGCCUUUCUAUUUCUUACUAUAGGUAUAGGCCAAAACGUACACGAGUAAGAGGAAAUACGACCUCUUUUAGGCGGGAUAGGUUAUUUAGGAUCCCUACUCUUUCUUUUUAUUUUCCCUUGUCGAAGUAGAAAGAUAGUUCUUACUGAAGUACAAACAGCUCACCUCUGCUCUCUCGCGACUAUGGCAGGGCGGUACACUAGAUAAAGCUAAAAACCCAAAAUUUAUUCUUCCCCCUAGAUUAAACUUGAUCAUCUUCCUAUAUCCACAUUACUUGAUACCAUAGCACAAAGCCACAAACGAUCGCCAUGCACUUGAUCACUUACACAAGCAGUAUAAGCUUCCCUCCAUAGACUACAAUGUCCAUUAAGCCCUCAUUGCACCCCCAAGACUUCACAUAAUAUGGCACCCAUUUGGAUUUUCAUCACUGAACAAGGCGAAGGUAUCGGAAUCGUCGGAAUAGUAGGGAUGU
rnacentral:lncRNA from 1 species